rnacentral:lncRNA from 1 species
GGGCCAUUGAGAAUGCUCAUUUUUGGCUUUGCAAGAUACAAGUUAGUUUUUCAAAGUAGGCAUGUAAGAAAACAUUCCCAACAGACUCUGGUGGAAAAAAUAUAUAUAUAUACUCAUAUAUUUGCUUAAAAAAUGAAUUAUUUGUAUUCAAAAGGAGAAGAAACUUUCUUCUGGCAUUUUUGGAGGUGAUCUCUGCACACGCUGGCUCCGUUUCGCCUUCCAUCAUGAGUAGAAACAGCCCAAGGCCUUCACCACAUUUCCUAUCUUGAACCUUCCAGCAAGAAGAAUCAUGAACCAAAUAAACUGCUUUUCUUUAUAAACUAUUCAGCUUCAUGUAUUCCUUUACAGCAACACUAAAUGGACUAAGACAAAUUGAUAAAGAAAAUGUGAUAUCUAUACAUCUGUCUAUAAAGAUAAGAUACCAAUUACAAUGGAACAUUGUUCAGCCAUAAAAAGAAGAAAAUUCUGGAAUUUCAGAUGUCAUGGAUGAAUCUGGAGGAAAUUAUGCAAAGAAAAAUAAGCUAGACACAGAAAGACAAAUACUAUAUAAUCUCACUUAUACGCAGAAUCUGAAAAGUUGAACUCGGAAGCAGAGACUGAAUGGUAGUUGCCAGGGGCUGGGAGCAGGGAGAAGAGAAUUGAAAGAAGGAAACGGGAGAUAUUGGUCAAAGAGACAAACAUUCAGUUAUAAGGUGAAUAAGUUCUGGAGAUCUAAUAUAUAGCAUGGUAACGAUCAUUAAUUAUACCAUAUUGUAUACUUGAAAUUUGCUGAAAGUAAAUCUUAAGGGUUCUCAACAAAUACAUACAAAAAAAAUGACCACCUUACAUUACUAUGAAAGAUGAUGGAUGUGUUAACUAGCUUGAUUUUGGUAAUCAUUUCACACUGUAUACGUAUAUCAAGUCAUGUUAUACACCUUGAAUAUAUACCGUUUUGUAUGUGGAUUACCUCAAUAAAGCUGUGGGGUGAGGAAAGAUUUGAAAAAUAUAA